rnacentral:tRNA from 4 species
GCAGAGGUAGCCAAGGCGGUCACGGCGGGGGUCUGAAAAACCUCAGAUGUCAGUUCGAUUCUGACCCUCUGCA